rnacentral:rRNA from 1 species
ACUCCUACGGGAGGCAGCAGUGGGGAAUAUUGCACAAUGGGGGAAACCCUGAUGCAGCCAUGCCGCGUGUGUGAAGAAGGCCUUCGGGUUGUAAAGCACUUUCAGUAGGGAGGAAGGUAGUGUAGUUAACACCUGCAUUAUUUGACGUUACCUACAGAAGAAGCACCGGCUAACUCCGUGCCAGCAGCCGCGGUAAUACGGAGGGUGCGAGCGUUAAUCGGAAUUACUGGGCGUAAAGCGCAUGCAGGCGGCUUGUUAAGUCAGAUGUGAAAGCCCGGGGCUUAACCGUCGGAAUUGCAUUUGAAACUGGCAGGCUAGAGUCUUGUAGAGGGGUUAGAAUUUCGAGGUGUAGCGGUGAAAUGCGUAGAGAUCUGAAGGAAUACCAGUGGCGAAGGCGGCCCCCUGGACAAAGACUGACGCUCAGAUGCGAAAGCGUGGGAGCAAACAGGAUUAGAUACCCCUGGUAGACUGUCA